GACGAACGCUGGCGGCGUGCUUAACACAUGCAAGUCGAACGGUAAGGCCCUUCGGGGUACACGAGUGGCGAACGGGUGAGUAACACGUGGGUGAUCUGCCCAGCACUUCGGGAUAAGCCUGGGAAACUGGGUCGAAUACCGGAUAGGACCACUGCCUGCAUGGGUGGUGGUGGAAAGCUGUUGCGGUGUGGGAUGGGCCCGCGGCCUAUCAGCUUGUUGGUGGGGUGAUGGCCUACCAAGGCGACGACGGGUAGCCGGCCUGAGAGGGUGACCGGCCACACUGGGACUGAGAUACGGCCCAGACUCCUACGGGAGGCAGCAGUGGGGAAUAUUGCACAAUGGGCGCAAGCCUGAUGCAGCGACGCCGCGUGAGGGAUGACGGCCUUCGGGUUGUAAACCUCUUUCAGCACCGACGAAGCGCAAGUGACGGUAGGUGCAGAAGAAGGACCGGCCAACUACGUGCCAGCAGCCGCCGUAA
rnacentral:rRNA from 1 species